CAUGAAGUCGGAAUCGCUAGUAAUCGCAGAUCAGCAAAGCUGCGGUGAAUACGUUCCCGGGCCUUGUACACACCGCCCGUCACACCACGGGAGUCGGUCGCGCCUGAAGCCGGUGGCCUAUCAGUAAUGGGGGAGCCGUCUAUGGCGAGAUUGGUAACUGGGGUGAAGUCGUAACAAGGUAUC
rnacentral:rRNA from 1 species